UCCCCCCGGCGGUGCCAUUUAAGUUUCCUCCUUAACCUGUUACUUUCUCCGGGCGCUGACAAAGCCCGGCGCGGGCUGGCAGGUGCCUCCCGCUCCCCGCCGGGCGCUGCGCUCCCCCCGCCGGGCUGAGACCCGGCCUGACAUUUAGUGCCUACUUGAAUGUCACAACGCUCCUCGCAGCAUUAUGCACGGCUCCUAUUCAUAAGAGGUCGAUUAGAGCACAAAAUGGCAGGUCUCUUAGGCACUUGAAUCUCACAAGUUUGACACAUGAAUCACCCCCUUCAUUGAUACCGAUCACCCAACAUCACAAGACAUCCCCAUCUCUCAGCGUGGACUCCCCCUAUCUGGGUGAAACUGGAAUGAAAUGGUCCAUCCAAGUCUUACUGAGACUGACAGGCUGGAGACCUGGCUUUGAAGUUUUCUAUGGACAAAAGUGGUUACUUUUGUAUUUCUACUGAAGAAUCUAUGCAUAACCAGACGAAUUCAAAGGUAAGCCAUCUCUGAAACAACUGGGAAGUAAGUCAAAAACGUGGGCGUUUUCAUCAGACAGUUGAAAACCUGUUCUACACAAGAAGGUGAGAAAGAUCUUCUCUCUCUUGAGCAUUCACCACCACUCCUUCUCACCACUUACCUCCACUCCAAGGAGGAGAAAAAUUGUGAACAGAACUGAAAUUUCCAAGUUAAAAAAAAAAAAAAAAGUGAUUGGAGAAAAAAUGGCAAUUGUAAGGGAAGAGAGCCUGAAAACCCAGGUAUUCUCACAUCCUACAAAUAAGCAAUAAUAAAAUCAAUAACGAAGCCACAAAAGGUUGUUCCAGUUUUUCAAUCCUGAUUAGGAAUUAAAGUCCUACAGAAUUCAAACAAGCUACACCUUUUUGAAGAAUUUUUUAAGUUUGGGGCUCUUUUAUUUUUUUCUUCUUAUGCCAUUUCAUCUUUAUGCUGAAUUUAAGUCGUAACAGAUGCUAUAUGAGUGUCAUUUUAGGAUAUAAAUUACAAACUGAAAGAGCGCUCGAGGAUCACAAGGCAUGAGCAUGUAUGGCCAUGUUGUUUUACACCUCUGUAGCCAGGACUUGUCAUUCUGAAAUCCUACAGAUGUGCUAACAGCUGCAGAGGUGGGUAAGGAGCUGGAGCUGCCUGCGUGCUGGAGCCUUGCCAAGGAAGCAUUGCCCGUAGCGAUGCUGAGGGUCAAAUGGCUGGGACAGGAUGGAUCUCACUUCACAAAGAGUGGUAGCCACUGCAUGGGGUAACCAGCCAUCCUCACGGAGACAGCUUACGUCCAGCUCUAAGCAUCCACUGCCAAACUGCAUUUGUGAAAAGUGCAGAGAGGGUUUUGUUUUAGUUUGUUUUGUUGGUUGUUGGGUUUUUGUUUUGUUUUUUUUUUUUCUGUUUCUACUGUAGCUAGUAGCAAAUCCUCAAAAGCUGACUGAUACACCAAACAAAACCAGUGAAACUCAAAGAUGACUGGGCCUUAUUAUGUCCUUUAAGGAAUCAAAAUAUCCCUAACACCUUUUCCAAGCUCAUAGGCAUUUUAAAAUGUGCUACACCCUUUCCCAUCCUCUACACCCCAUGCAUGGACUAGUCAAUAUAUGACCAAAUACAUAGGCUUGAGGCACGUUUUAUUUGUGCAAAUGGGUCCACAUUACUUCUGCAGUCCAUGCUUUGCAAGCAUUGUGAUGCUAUAAUUCAUUUCCACAGAAUAUGUGGCCCACUGGGUAAAAUUUCAGUUACACUAGUGAAAAUGUUGAAUAAGCCCUUGGAAGCUAAAACUAAUGACCACUUUAGAAAUCCAAAGGUGAUGAGCUUAUCUGGUUAAUAAUAAGCUUUUUAAGAAAAAGUUAUCAAUCUGUAUUUAACCAAUAGACAGGAACUGGUUCAAAAAGAGUCUUUCCAAUUCAUCAGGUAAUGAAUGCCUAUUAAAAAACUAUAAAUAAGCAUUCACCCGAGAGCUUGGAAUGGCACUUUGAGAGCCUUCCUGGUCACUCAGGUAAAUAAUGAGUUUUAUAUAACCUUUCGGCAAAGAUUUUUUAUAAAUGAGGAGAUGAAAUGCAGAAAAGCUUCCAAUUAAUGUUAAGUUUGGGGUGCAAGCCAACACACAACUGGGAAUUCAGAGUUAAAGCUGGCAUUAUUGUUCACUCACAUGGUUUUCUGUAAGAGCUCAAUGUUGUAUUUACUCUGACUUGUUUGUGAUGGUUUCAAUUUAAAAUUUUAUUUAUAUGUGAUGUUUAAGCUGAUGACUAUUUUGUACAUUAUCUGCUCACACAGCAAACACUGAAGUCAAUAAGAAUUGUAGAGAAGGGCAGGACAUCGGCCCCUAACCAAUGUGCAGCCAACAGUGAAAAUGACUGCAGUGGUCUCUCAUCACAGCCCCCAUCAAAUCUGCAAGCACUGUGCUUGCUCGAAUCUUAAGAGAAAGAAUAAGACCAAGGGAAAAAAUCUGGUAUCUCAUUCUGUCGAUAUUUACUACUCUCCUGUAAAGUAACUCUUAUCAAAUAUUUUGAGCUAUCUUGAUGACUAAGAAAAAAUAUACCCAUAAAGAGGCCCAUCAGUUAUCUUAAAAUCAAAUAAACUGGCAACCAGGAUAUAUGACAAAAUUAAAUGUAAGCCCUUUCCUGGAUAACUGUACAGUCCCCUAUAGAGAAUUGCUCAUCAGCUGUCCUCAACACCUGAAACCUUUGGCUGAGAAGACUAACACAGAUUUCACACCCUGAACUUAACAAACUUCAUUUGUUAUGUACUCAGAGAAUGAAAAUUGUACUACGGGCUCAAGGAUCAAAAAGGAAAACUCCCAACUAUAGCCAUGGCAGUGUUUCACAGUAAGACAGGCAUUUGAAAAGGCUAAAAUGCAAACCAAGAGGGGAAAAAAUAUAUAGUGUUUGUAUUCAGUAGAGAUCUUUCCUGACCUUUGUGAUUCUAAAGAAAUAUAUCCUUCCAAUUGUUCCAUAUUGUGUUACAACAUAUUUUUUGCAUUUAUUAAUAAUUCAAACAUGUUGUUGUUGAAAAAAAUUAUUCACAUCAUGUGUUCAUAGUUUCCAUAUACAUAUGUCAAACUUUAUUUUGUUUUACCAUUAUAAUCCAUGAAUGGAUUUACCCUUUGUUUCUGUUUUCAAAUCUCUGAGGAAUGUUUGAUUAGGUAGGAGGGUUUGUUUUAUGCAUUACUUGUUCAUCAUUGCACAAGUGCACAGGCUAAACAAAGUUGGCAUACUUCAUACUGAUUGGUGGAAACCACGUAGUUAAACAGUGUAGUUAAUACAGGGGAAUGAGUAAUUUCUCAGCACAGCUAAUCAGCUGCACAAUAGCUAUGUAUCAGACACUGCAGCCAUAUAUCAAAAAGGCAUUUUAAGGUAGCUUGCAGCAUACGUGAUUAUCUGGUAGUAUCUGUUACAAUCAUUUCAUGUUAACAUACUUUUGUAUUUAAUAAAAAUAAUGUUGUGUGCAGCAGUCUAUAUACAUAACUGGCCAGGAUACCAGGAACUAUCAAGUAAAUUGCAAACACAGUAAUGUUCUAGCUGAUACAUGUGGAAAAUAUGUCCAGGUUGUUCCGACUUGGCUAUGUCAGGUGUAAAGGAAAAGCAAGAGCUCUGAAGAUGACAGAACAGCUAUUGCUUCACUGAAGAACUUAAAUCAAUUGCAUAAUUCUAUAGCUAUCUCUCCAUUCAACUAUAACUAAGAAAUAAUAAGAUAAACACCUUGUGCUAUUAUUUACCAUCUGUCUUCUGCAUUAAUGCUUUUUCGUCCCUUUGUAAUGAGCUGUACACGUUAUUAUGACUUCCAUUCCCGAAGAACUUUAACAGUUCAGAAUGCUGUCUCUCCAUUAGAAAACGAAGUUGAGUUCAGUAGGAGUUAACAUUAACAAUUCAAGAGCCUGUAGAAGAAAUUAGAAACAUGAGCCCUCCAUAAUGAUGAUAAAAUCAAACUGGCAAAUAAAUGUAUUCUCAAAUUUCAUAGUAAGAAAAUGGAUGAAUAUGUGCAACUAAAAUGGUCUCUUAAAUUUCAAGUGCAAGGCCCGGAUUCUCAAGAAC
ensembl:lncRNA